rnacentral:lncRNA from 1 species
CCGGAAGAGGAAAGGGGCAGGACGCAUGCUGUUCUUCUGCUGCGAUUGUACAAACCGAAAGGGACGAGAGAAGGACGGACACGCAAGAGGUCACUGGUGGGCUCACACGAUCGUUGAAGCCGGGUUCGUUUUGGGUCGAUUUCUGGGCUGAUCUCGGGCUGCUGCUCGCGAUUGAGAUUCUGGGUUUCAAUUUCAAUGGGUCGUGAUGCUGUUGGCAUGAAGAAG